rnacentral:rRNA from 1 species
UUAGUUUGAUUCUAACUAAUAGAUUAGUAUGUAUAUUAUAAAUCUCAUGCUAAAGUACAGUAAAAUAAAUAAUAUAGGUUAUAACAAAUUUGAAUAAUACCUAAUAGCAGCGAUGGGUACUUUGAUUAUAUGUAAAUACAUGAAAAGGUAUAAAUACUUUAGCCGGCCAAAUUCGUGCCAGCAGCAGCGGUUAUACGAUAAGCAUCUAACAACCAAAAUCAAGAAAAAGAUAAAAUAAAAUCAAUAUAAAAGUCAAAUUUCUACUAUUUAAGAUCUAUGAUUAUCUAAUAAAGAGCUAUAAACUAAAACAAGGAUUAGAUACCCUUUUAUUACUAGUAUAAAUAAUGAUUGGGGACUACGAGCAACGGCUUAAAAACCCAAGAUUUUGGCGGUGUUUUAUUCAAUCAGGGGAAUCUGUCUUAUAAUCGAUAACCCACGAAAAAAUAACCUUACCCUUGAAAAUAACAGUUUGUGUACUGCCGUCCAAUGGGCCCUCAAGGUUACCUGUAAUAAAUUAUCAUAAAUUUUACGUCAGGUCAAAGUGCAGCUAACGGGAAGGAAAAGAUGGAUUACAAAUUAUAACAUAAAUGGAGUUAUAGUAUAAAUCUAUAAUGAAAAAGAACUUGAUAGUAAUUUUAUUAACAAAAUAUAAUGAAUAAAGAACUUAAAACAAGCACAUAUCGCCCGUCACUCCUUUAUAUAGGAUAAGUCGUAACAUAGUAGGUGUAAUGGAAAUUGCAUCUGU